rnacentral:rRNA from 1 species
GAUGAACGCUGGCGGCGUGCCUAAUACAUGCAAGUCGAGCGAACGGACGAGAAGCUUGCUUCUCUGAUGUUAGCGGCGGACGGGUGAGUAACACGUGGAUAACCUACCUAUAAGACUGGGAUAACUUCGGGAAACCGGAGCUAAUACCGGAUGAUAUUUUGAACCGCAUGGUUCAAAAGUGAAAGACGGUCUUGCUGUCACUUAUAGAUGGAUCCGCGCUGCAUUAGCUAGUUGGUAAGGUAACGGCUUACCAAGGCAACGAUGCAUAGCCGACUUGAGAGGGUGAUCGACCACACUGGAACUGAGACACGGUCCAGACUCCUACGGGAGGCAGCAGUAGGGAAUCUUCCGCAAUGGGCGAAAGCCUGACGGAGCAACGCCGCGUGAGUGAUGAAGGUCUUCGGAUCGUAAAACUCUGUUAUUAGGGAAGAACAUAUGUGUAAGUAACUGUGCACAUCUUGACGGUACCUAAUCAGAAAGCCACGGCUAACUACGUG